UGGGGAAUAUUGCACAAUGGGGGAAACCCUGAUGCAGCAACGCCGCGUGAGUGAUGACGGCCUUCGGGUUGUAAAGCUCUGUCUUCAGGGACGAUAAUGACGGUACCUGAGGAGGAAGCCACGGCUAACUACGUGCCAGCAGCCGCGGUAAUACGUAGGUGGCAAGCGUUGUCCGGAUUUACUGGGCGUAAAGGGAGCGUAGGCGGACUUUUAAGUGGGAUGUGAAAUACCCGGGCUUAACCUGGGUGCUGCAUUCCAAACUGGGAGUCUAGAGUGCAGGAGGGGAAAGUGGAAUUCCUAGUGUAGCGGUGAAAUGCGUAGAGAUUAGGAAGAACACCGGUGGCGAAGGCGACUUUCUGGACUGUAACUGACGCUGAGGCUCGAAAGCGUGGGGAGCGAACAGG
rnacentral:rRNA from 2 species